CUGUUGCACUUCCUUUUGCCGAAACCUGACCAGAAGACUUCUGCAGAGGAAGUGUCCUCACCGCCUCGGGGUGCAGGAGAGAGCGAGCUGCGUACUGUAUCGUCCAUGAUGUACAUGUGAGUCGUGCAUGAUCCCUUGAUCCUUGAGGGCGGGACGCUGUCCACACAGAUCUCUGAGCAGAUGAUGUUCACGCUUGGCUCCACCAUUAAAACCGCCGAGGAGUCGUCGUCCCUCGCUCGGCUACUAAAACAUGUUCAAAGAGCUGGCUCAGCACGACGCCGCGGCCUGGAUUCAUAAUUGGACUUGUAUGGACUUCAAUAGAAGCUGCUGCACUUUGUCCUGAGACCAGGAGUCACACUUUCUUCCUCUGCAGCGCUGUCUUUGUUUUUUCCAGCCUCGUUUCAGUGAUGACAGUGUUACCCAGCUGGUCUGGGUUCAGUUUUGUAAAAUAUCAAUAUCACCUCCAUGUGUCGUGGUGAACAUUUGAGGACGUGGACGGCCUCCAGACGUUGGUGACCUGCCGUCCUGUCGUGGUGCAGCAGCAUGAGGACGAUGAUUGUGGUUUGGAGACACAUCUCAGCAGCUUGUGGACGGACUGGCGUGAAAUUCAUGUUCCUUCAGGCAGAAUUCAUUUUGAAUCUCCUGCGUUUGUUCUGUCAAAUUUAGUCAGUGUGUGUGUGUGUGUGUGUGUGUGUGUGGGUCCUGAAUAUUUCUUGGGAAAGUUUCUCCAGAUGAGUAACUUUUGGAGCUGAUAGGUCAAAGGCCAGAGAGACAAUCAUCAGAUCGUCAUUAUGAAAGUGAAUUUUUUUAACUCUCCACUUUCUUCAACAUCCGCAAAACUCAUGAACUUUUCUCACUAUCGACAAAAAUUGGACAAAACCAUCUUUUUCACACGGGCAGGCCCCCAAACUGUUGCUUCACUUUAUGUGGCCGGGGAAAAUCACUGUUUCAUUAGGGCGGGGAGGACAAAUACACACAUGCAAGCCAGCUACAACACACACACACACACACACUCACACACACUCACACACACACUCACACGUACAAAGAAUGCGUCCAGACAAUAGAAGUUGAGACCAAAACCUCAUAAUCCCAAAGAUCUUUCUCCGGCCAUCAGCACUUUGGAUUCUUUAAUCAUGUUGAAUGGGUUAUUUCCUCCAUCACACACACACACACACACACACACACACACUCUCUCUCCUCUCUUGGGGUCAGAGUAUUUUUCGUGGUCAUUAUUGCCAUGGCGACAGUGGAAAGCCCCUGUUAGCAGAGGUGGUGUGUUUCCUGUUAGCUUCAUCAAACUGCAUGAGAAACGGAACCUGAUUUUUCCUGCUCUGACCUUAUCUGACACAUAAUGAGCCAUUAGCUUUUUCUAAACGUGCUGAGUGACCGUCAGCUCCUCUGAUGCUCCACCCUGGAACGAGCAGAGAGCAUCAGCAGGACGAUGAUGAAGAUGAUGAUGAUGAUAAAACCAACAUGAUGCUCGUUAGUUGAGGAGUCAAACAGGAAUCUGGCGAAUUCAAUGUGUUUCUUUGUAAAUGACGUUUGAGAAAAGUCACGUUAGAUUAACAUUUAUCACAGUUUGUGUUUUUCAAAAGUUUAUCCUGGACACGAUUCAGAGAGUUUAUGUUUUACAUUAUAUCAAAAACAGGCUGAAGCUAAUGUUUCUAUUCAGACUAAAGCUUUUAAUUUAUGGCUUCAGUUAACUGUUGAUAUGUUGAGUGUUGUGAUCGGGUCGUCUCUUAGUCUGUCGUUCAUUAGAUGAAAAGCUGUUCUGUAGUUUCUGACAAACAAACAAACCAAAUAAAUAAAAAUCAUACCAUUGAUAAGUUACUGAAAAACAAAGUAUAUUCUAAGAACUGUAAUAUUCCUUCUCACUUUUCUCACUGGACUUUGUGCUCUUGAUUUAUUUAAACUAUUAACCAAUAAAAAGAACCAGAGUUAA